GUGGGGAAUAUUGCACAAUGGGCGAAAGCCUGAUGCAGCAACGCCGCGUGAGGGACGACGGCCUUCGGGUUGUAAACCUCUUUUAGUAGGGAAGAAGCGAAAGUGACGGUACCUGCAGAAAAAGCACCGGCUAACUACGUGCCAGCAGCCGCGGUAAUACGUAGGGUGCAAGCGUUAUCCGGAAUUAUUGGGCGUAAAGAGCUCGUAGGCGGUCUGUCGCGUCUGCUGUGAAAACUGGAGGCUCAACCUCCAGCCUGCAGUGGGUACGGGCAGGCUAGGGUGCGGUAGGGGAGAUUGGAAUUCCUGGUGUAGCGGUGGAAUGCGCAGAUAUCAGGAGGAACACCGAUGGCGAAGGCAGAUCUCUGGGCCGUAACUGACGCUGAGGAGCGAAAGCGUGGGGAGCGAACAGGAUUAGAUACCCCGGUAGUCC
rnacentral:rRNA from 1 species